rnacentral:lncRNA from 1 species
AUUUAAGAACCAGAUUAUUCUAUUAUUCAUGACACUUUUUGAUAAAGUUUUAUUAAUGCCAUCGCAAAUCCCAUUGAGAUAAAAGAUUUUGUUUUUAUUGUGUGGUUCAAGAUAAUUUUAAUUGGUCAAAAACUAUCGUGAUACAAAACAUAUCUAAAAUGUAAUUUUUAUGCAAUUGCUUGCCUUGUUGAUUAUAAGAAUUGUCUUGACCUUGCGUGUGAGAACCUUGGAUUCGUAGAAUCACUUCAACCAUGCCAACUUGAUAAUCACAUGGUUAUGGUUAUGGUCAAGGGCCAUCGCUAAUCCACUUUGGAAUUAAAUAUGGUGUAGAAAAAAAGAGAGAGCUCAUGGAGCGGGCAACGCAAGGAUCCGGUGGGUCGUGCCAAAAACCUCACUUUCAAACCAGAUUCUCAAAAUAUUGUUUGGAAUAAUUGUAGCAAAACAACAAUUUAGAAAGCUAAGGGGGGGAAAAGGUAGAAGAAGCUCUUUUCUCUACCACUGAAUUUGCUAUCUUCCUUUAUCCUCAUUUUUCUUUCUUUGUUUCCUGUUUCGAAGACUUGAAAGCUUUUGCUAGUUUUCCCGAGCAGCCAAUGAAGGCUCUGUGUGUGCUUUGAUGCUCCAUGAAUCUAUGCGCAAAUCAAGCCCAGCCAAUUGGUUCAUAAAAAGAAAGUAGAAGAAGACUCAAUCCAUUCGGUUUCUGAAAGCCUUUUAGGGUAAAAAGACAUGUAAAAGUCAUGAUUUUGUGGUCUAAAAGAGUUUUUCAUUUCUUACAUGAUUUUUG